GUCUUACCAGACACAGUUAGAUCUUAGCUAUUCCUGUCUAAUACUGUCUGGUAAUGCCGU
rnacentral:pre_miRNA from 1 species